GAUGAGCUCGCGGCCUAUCAGCUAGUUGGUGGGGUAACGGCCCACCAAGGCUUCGACGGGUANCCNGCCUGAGAGGGUGACCGGCCACNCUGGGACUGAGACACGGCCCAGACUCCUACGGGAGGCAGCAGUGGGCAAUAUUGGACAAUGGGCGAAAGCCUGAUCCAGCAACGCCGCGUGAGGGAUGACGGCCUUCGGGUUGUAAACCUCUUUCAGCAGGGACGAAGCGCAAGUGACGGUACCUGCAGAAGAAGCACCGGCCAACUACGUGCCAGCAGCCGCGGUAAUACGUAGGGUGCAAGCGUUGUCCGGAAUUAUUGGGCGUAAAGGGCUCGUAGGCGGUCUGUCACGUCGGGAGUGAAAACUCGGGGCUUAACCCCGAGCCUGCUUCCGAUACGGGCAGACUAGAGGUAUGCAGGGGAGAAUGGAAUUCCUGGUGUAGCGGUGAAAUGCGCAGAUAUCAGGAGGAACACCGGUGGCGAAGGCGGUUCUCUGGGCAUUACCUGACGCUGAGGAGCGAAAGUGUGGGGAGCGAACAGGAUUAGAUACCCUGGUAGUCCACACCGUAAACGUUGGGCGCUAGGUGU
rnacentral:rRNA from 1 species